ensembl:rRNA 5S_rRNA 5S ribosomal RNA
GUCUACUGCCAUUCUAUCUUGGAUGUGCCUGGUUGUGUCUGAUCUAAGAAGCUAAGCAGGGUCAGGCCUGGUUGAUGCUUGGAUAGGAGAUUACCUGUGAAUGCUGUGUGCUAAAAC